CAAAAUGAGAGUUUGAUCCUGGCUCAGGACGAACGCUGGCGGCGUGCCUAAUACAUGCAAGUCGAGCGAGCUGAAUUCAAAGAUCCCUUCGGGGUGAUUUGUUGGACGCGAGCGGCGGAUGGGUGAGUAACACGUGGGCAACCUGCCCCAAAGACUGGGAUACCACUUGGAAACAGGUGCUAAUACCGGAUAACAACAGAAGCUGCAUGGCUUUUGUUUGAAAGGCGGCUUUAAGCUGUCACUUUAGGAUGGGCCCGCGGUGCAUUAGCUAGUUGGUGGGGUAACGGCCCACCAAGGCAAUGAUGCAUAGCCGAGUUGAGAGACUGAUCGGCCACAUUGGGACUGAGACACGGCCCAAACUCCUACGGGAGGCAGCAGUAGGGAAUCUUCCACAAUGGACGCAAGUCUGAUGGAGCA
rnacentral:rRNA from 1 species